UGAAUGGAUAAGCAUCAUUAUGCUCAUAAGUUGAUAAGCACCUCUAUGCUACAACUGUCAUUCUUAUCACUAUAUAUCAGCAACAGCACAACAACUCAUUACACCUUGUUACUUAAUUAGAAGGAUUUGUAUUUAUAUUAGAAUAUUUGCUAUUCAUCAGAUUGAUCACAAUUGUAACAUAUUAGGAAUAUUUUUACUAUUCUCUUCCAAUCACACUAAAUGAUGAUUGUCUGCUUGUAUGUAUAUAAAGAACAAUUGUACAAUUACUCAGAUCAAUACAAUCAAUUGAAUCCUUUUAUGGUAUCAGAGCAAAACCUACUCAUACUCCUCUUUGUACUUCCACUCCUCUUCAACUAGUGGACGGAUCCACACCGGCUGAUUCCAAAAUGUUUUGUAGCAUAGAGGUGCUUAUCAACUUAUGAGCAUAAUGAUGCUUAUCCAUUCAUGUGUUAUUACAAUUCAUGCACCAGCCCACGCAGAUCCAUUUUCAACAACUCAAACGCGUCAUGAGAUAUCUCAAACUUACCAUUAACUAUGGCUUGAAACUCAAGAAACCAGCUCAUUUAAAAUUACAUGCCUUUAGUGAUGCAGACUGGGGAGGCAACCUAGAUGAUCGCACUUCUACCUCAGCGUUCAUAAUUUAUUUUGGAGGUAAUCCAGUGUCCUGGUUAUCAAAGAGGCAAAGAACUGUGGCGCGAUCAUCAACAGAGGCUGAAUAUCGCUCCGUAGCAAAUGCCGCAGCAGAAGUCAUGUGGUUGGCAAAUCUUCUCGGUGAAUUACAUGUCAAAACACCUCCUCCUAAUCUAUUUUGUGAUAACAUUGGAGCCACUUACGUGUGUUCUAAUCCAGUUUUUCACUCUCGAAUGAAGCACAUUGCACUUGACUACCAUUAUGUACGUCAACUUGUUCAAUUGGGUAAACUCCGUGUGUCUCACAUUUCCACCAAAGAUCAACCUGCAGACAUACUCACAAAGCCUUUGUCUCGACCCAGGUUCACCUACUUGAGAGACAAGACUGGUCUCACCGAUUGUGAUCCCAUCUUGAGGGGGCGUAAUAACACAUGAAUGGAUAAACAUCAUUAUGCUCAUAAGUUCAUAAACACCUCUAUGCUACAGCUGUCAUUCUUAUCACUAUAUAUCAGCAACAACACAACAACUCAUUACACCUUGUUACUUAAUUAGAAGGAUUUAUAUUUAUAUUAGAAUAUUUGCUAUUCAUCAGAUUGAUCACAAUUGUAACAUAUUAGGAAUAUUUUUACUAUUCUCUUGCAAUCACACUAAAUGGUGAUUGUCUGCUUGUAUGUAUAUAAAGAACAAUUGUACAAUUACUCAAA
rnacentral:lncRNA from 1 species